AUUGAACGCUGGCGGCAUGCCUUACACAUGCAAGUCGAACGGCAGCACGGGAGCAAUCCUGGUGGCGAGUGGCGAACGGGUGAGUAAUAUAUCGGAACGUGCCCAGUAGUGGGGGAUAACUGCUCGAAAGAGCAGCUAAUACCGCAUACGACCUGAGGGUGAAAGGGGGGGAUCGCAAGACCUCUCGCUAUUGGAGCUGCCGAUAUCAGAUUAGCUAGUUGGUGGGGUAAAGGCCUACCAAGGCAACGAUCUGUAGUUGGUCUGAGAGUACGACCAGCCACACUGGAACUGGGCCACGGCCCAGACUCCUACGGGAGGCAGCAGUGGGGAAUUUUGGACAAUGGCGCAAGCCUGAUCCAGCAAUGCCGCGUGCAGGAAGAAGGCCUUCGGGUUGUAAACUGCUUUUGUCAGGGAAGAAAUCCUCUAGGUUAAUACCCUUGGGGGGAUGACGGUACCUGAAGAAUAAGCACCGGCUAACUACGUGCCAGCAGCCGCAGUAAUAC
rnacentral:rRNA from 1 species